GUUGAACGCUGGCGGCAGGCCUAACACAUGCAAGUCGAACGGUAACAGGAAGCAGUUUGCUGCUUCGCUGUCGCGUGGCGGACGGGAGUGUCAUGUGUGUGAAACUGCUUGAUGGCGGGGGAUACUUACUGAAAACGGUAGCAAAUACCGCAUAACGUCUCAAGCCCAAAGAGGGGGACCUUAGGGCCGCUUUCCUUCCGCUGAUCCCUGAUGGGAUUAGCUAGUAGGUAGGGUAACGGCUCACCUAGGCGACGAUCCAUAGCUGGUCUGAGAGGUUGACCGGCCACACUGGAACUGAGACACGGUCCAGACUCCUACGGGAGGCAGCAGUGGGGAAUAUUGCGCAAUGGGCGAAAGCCUGAUGGAGCAAUGCCGCGUGUAUGAUGAAGGUCUUCGGGUCGUAAAAUACUGUCAGCGGGGAGGAAGGAAUGAGAGAGAAAACCUUCGCUCAUUGACGGUACCUGCAGAAAAAGCACCGGCUAACUCCGUG
rnacentral:rRNA from 1 species